AAGCUCUUUGCCCAUUUAUUAAUUGGGUUGUUGAUUCUAUUUUUUUUUACCCUUGAGUAGUUGUACAAAGGGGAUAGUUGGUAGAUAAAUUGCAUAUCUCAAACUGGGCUGUUACAUAAACUUUGGUCAGAUUAUGUUGCACAAUGAAUUUAUUACUCAGUGAGAUGCUAGUUUGAGCCCCUAAUAUAGGCCAUCUCUUGGUGAUUUAGGUAAGUCAUUUUCUGAGACAAGUUUAUAUGUUAAGUUUGAGACUAUAAUGUUUUCUUCCUUUCCAUUAUGAUUCAAUCCUAAUUAUCACUUUGGGGAUAUGGAUUUUUAACUUCUAUUAGCUAACUAUUUUGGGGGUAUAUGAGGUUAGAUUCUAUAAGUCUAUGUCCUUCAUGAUCUGUCUUAAUCACUUUAUAUUUGUUAUCUAUUCUUGUAUAAUAAACCAUCUGAAUACAUACAUAAGUACCUAAAAGAAUAAAUUUACAAUUUAUCAUAAUUUUAUCUUUUGGCCAGAUUCAGUUUGCAGUUCUGAGUCUUGGUGGGGUCGGCUCCUUUGUGGAGACUUGGUAUUGG